rnacentral:misc_RNA from 1 species
GAUGAAGAACGCAGCGAAAUGCGAUAAGUAAUGCGAAUUGCAGAAUCCGUGAGUCAUCGAAUCUUUGAACGCACAUUGCGCCCGCCAGCAUUCUGGCGGGCAUGCCUGUUCGAGCGUCAUUUCAACCCUCGAGCCCCCCCGGGGGCCUCGGUGUUGGGGGACGGCACACCAGCCGCCCCCGAAAUGCAGUGGCGACCCCGCCGCAGCCUCCCCUGCGUAGUAGCACACACCUCGCACCGGAGCGCGGAGGCGGUCACGCCGUAAAACGCCCAACUUUCUUAGAGUUGACCUCGGAUCAGGUAGGAAUACCCGCUGAACUUAAGCAUAUCAAUAAGCGGAGGA